rnacentral:rRNA from 1 species
UACGGGGGGUGCGAGCGUUGUCCGGAAUCACUGGGCGUAAAGGGCGCGUAGGUGGUUUGAUAAGGGUGUGGUGAAAGUCCGGGGCUAAACCCCGGAUCUGCCGUGCCGACUGUCAAACUCGAGGGCUGUAGAGGCAGACGGAAUUCCGGGUGUAGCGGUGGAAUGCGUAGAGAUCCGGAGGAAGACCGGUGGCGAAGGCGGUCUGCUGGGCAGUAACUGACGCUGAGGAGCGAAAGCGUGGGGAGCGAACAGG